AAGUGGGGAUGACGUCAAGUCAGCAUGGCCUUUAUAUCCUGGGCUACACACACGCUACAAUGGGAAGGGACAAUAGGUUGCGAAGCCGCGAGGCGGAGCCAAUCCAGCAAAACUUCCCUCAGUUCAGAUUGCAGGCUGCAACUCGCCUGCAUGAAGUUGGAGUUGCUAGUAAACGCAGGUCAGCCAUACUGCGUUGAAUACGUUCCCGGGGCUU
rnacentral:rRNA from 1 species